UACAGAGGGUGCGAGCGUUGUUCGGAAUUAUUGGGCGUAAAGCGCUUGUAGGCGGCUUGUUAAGUCGCGUGUGAAAUCCCCAGGCUCAACCUGGGAAGUGCGCGCGAAACUGGCGAGCUUGAAUGCCGGAGAGGGUCGCGGAAUUCCCAGUGCAGAGGUGAAAUUCGUAGAUAUCGGGAGGAACACCAGUGGCGAAGGCGGCGACCUGGACGGACAUUGACGCUGAGACGCGAAAGCGUGGGGAGCAAACAGG
rnacentral:rRNA from 1 species